rnacentral:rRNA from 1 species
CAGUAGCCGCGGUAAUACGGAGGGUGCAAGCGUUAAUCGGAAUUACUGGGCGUAAAGCGCACGCAGGCGGUCUGUCAAGUCGGAUGUGAAAUCCCCGGGCUCAACCUGGGAACUGCAUUCGAAACUGGCAGGCUAGAGUCUUGUAGAGGGGGGUAGAAUUCCAGGUGUAGCGGUGAAAUGCGUAUAGAUCUGGAGGAAUACCGGUGGCGAAGGCGGCCCCCUGGACAAAGACUGACGCUCAGGUGCGAAAGCGUGGGGAGCAAACAGGAUUAGAUACCCGGGUAGUCCCUGUCUCUUAUAC